CAGUCGAACGAACUCUGGUAUUGAUUGGUGCUUGCAUCAUGAUUUACAUUUGACUGAGUGGCGAACUGGUGAGUAACACGUGGGAAACCUGCCCAGAAGCGGGGGAUAACACCUGGAAACAGAUGCUAAUACCGCAUAACAACUUGGACCGCAUGGUCCGAGCUUGAAAGAUGGCUUCGGCUAUCACUUUUGGAUGGUCCCGCGGCGUAUUAGCUAGAUGGUGGGGUAACGGCUCACCAUGGCAAUGAUACGUAGCCGACCUGAGAGGGUAAUCGGCCACAUUGGGACUGAGACACGGCCCAAACUCCUACGGGAGGCAGCAGUAGGGAAUCUUCCACAAUGGACGAAAGUCUGAUGGAGCAACGCCGCGUGAGUGAAGAAGGGUUUCGGCUCGUAAAACUCUGUUGUUAAAGAAGAACAUAUCUGAGAGUAACUGUUCAGGUAUUGACGGUAUUUAACCAGAAAGCCACGGCUAACUACGUGCCAGCAGCCGCGGUAAUACGUAGGUGGCAAGCGUUGUCCGGAUUUAUUGGGCGUAAAGCGAGCGCAGGCGGUUUUUUAAGUCUGAUGUGAAAGCCUUCGGCUCAACCGAAGAAGUGCAUCGGAAACUGGGAAACUUGAGUGCAGAAGAGGACAGUGGAACUCCAUGUGUAGCGGUGAAAUGCGUAGAUAUAUGGAAGAACACCAGUGGCGAAGGCGGCUGUCUGGUCUGUAACUGACGCUGAGGCUCGAAAGUAUGGGUAGCAAACAGGAUUAGAUACCCUGGUAGUCCAUACCGUAAACGAUGAAUGCUAAGUGUUGGAGGGUUUCCGCCCUUCAGUGCUGCAGCUAACGCAUUAAGCAUUCCGCCUGGGGAGUACGGCCGCAAGGCUGAAACUCAAAGGAAUUGACGGGGGCCCGCACAAGCGGUGGAGCAUGUGGUUUAAUUCGAAGCUACGCGAAGAACCUUACCAGGUCUUGACAUACUAUGCAAAUCUAAGAGAUUAGACGUUCCCUUCGGGGACAUGGAUACAGGUGGUGCAUGGUUGUCGUCAGCUCGUGUCGUGAGAUGUUGGGUUAAGUCCCGCAACGAGCGCAACCCUUAUUAUCAGUUGCCAGCAUUAAGUUGGGCACUCUGGUGAGACUGCCGGUGACAAACCGGAGGAAGGUGGGGAUGACGUCAAAUCAUCAUGCCCCUUAUGACCUGGGCUACACACGUGCUACAAUGGAUGGUACAACGAGUUGCGAACUCGCGAGAGUAAGCUAAUCUCUUAAAGCCAUUCUCAGUUCGGAUUGUAGGCUGCAACUCGCCUACAUGAAGUCGGAAUCGCUAGUAAUCGCGGAUCAGCAUGCCGCGGUGAAUACGUUCCCGGGCCUUGUACACACCGCCCGUCACACCAUGAGAGUUUGUAACACCCAAAGUCGGUGGG
rnacentral:rRNA from 2 species